UUGGGGUUAAACCCCGUUACAAAGGCUGACCUCAUUACGUAAAUUACUAAUUCACGAUAAGACGAUGCACGUUAGCUGUUUGCUUGGUGGAAGCAGUUUGCUGAAAGCCCUCUCUUGGGGAGAGCGUGGAGCAGCACUUGACACCUUGGCCUGGUUUGGAGCCCAGUGGAUCCUCGGUCAGCGCGUGCUGCCAACGGGAGCCGCAUCCGCUUGGGCUCGCUGCCAAAUCUAGCUCCCACUCGGCUACCAAGGGUCACCACGGAGACGUUUUGUACCAGAACGAUCAUUUUAAAUAUCAGAUUUCAGCCUUUGAGCACUGUGCUCACCUGGCUGUGAAGGGAACCCUUCAGUUCCUCUUUGAGAAGCAGCAUCUGCUGGAAGGAUUGCAAAGGUGCCUUUUUUGCUGAGAAGUCAGAGAUGCUGCUGCUGUUCAGACCACAUCAGUAGUUCCUGGGGUGCAGGCAUAUGCACAGACAGAAUACCGUCGGCACAUCAUGCUGAGGGUUACUUAAAACAUCCCUGCAAAGCAGCUGAUUUACGUUGGCCCCGGGAAAGGGGUGAGCUGGAAUCGUGAGGAGGCUCUUAAACUUUAACCACGUCUUCUUCAAGGCAGAGAAAAAUAUCCAUCCCGUCAGAUAGGAGAGCGGUGGUUCAACUCCUCCAGCUUUUUAAAGGAGGCAAAAACAAUGCGCUGCAUAUUUACAUGGAAUCCCCUUAAGGACAUCCGUCAUGCUGCUGAUUGAACUGAAAGUCUCUCCCCAGUUUAAUGUUAUGCCUUCAGGCAGUCGAAACCCAAUAGACUCAGUUACUCUGCUCCAGAUCCUAGAUUGCCAGCACAGGCAGCUUUUAUUCUUGCCCUUAUUUUUCCAGAAGCACAGAACCUUCACUUCUAAAUCACUGGCUUUGUGUGGGUUUUCUAGGCCACUUCCACUUACGUUUUGGAGCCUGGCCCUGUGCUGGAUUUGUGGUUAGUGUUUUAUACAUUAACAUCUAGCAGCCAUGCUUUCCUUGCUUCUAGUUCCAUGUGGUGCAUUAGGCAAGUUAUUGAACUGAUUUCCUUCCCUUCGUUGUGACACACAUCAAAGGGGCUAGGUUUCCAUCCAUCACCUUUUAUCCAGAAUUUUGCAUUGCCUUUAGGAUUUGAACUCCAACUACCACCAUAAACCUCCCCCGCCCCCAAAAACCAAAAAUCCCAAACCCUAUCCCCCCAAGGAAAAAAAAAAAAAAGGCAAACAAAAAACCCCCAAACAAACGAAAAAAAUCAAACAAAACCCUCCCCCUCUAAACUGGCCAAAGAGAAUAGAGGAAAGCAAUUAUUUGAAAGUUACUGUGUUGAUUUCUAAAACCAAGUUUGCUUUCCUUAUUCGCUCCUGCUGUCCUGCUGCCACUGAGUCUACUUGCUGUCUGCAGCAGAGGCUCAUUUUUCUCAGCCAGCUUGCUUGUUUGCUCACUCUGUGGCCUAAAUCUGGGAAGCUUGGCCACAGCAUUAAAAAAAUACAUGUUAAUUUGUGGAAGAAGAGUAGAUUCCUUUAAAGGAGAAAGCUGCAGAGGUUCAGAGGUUUCCCCAGCAGAGGCAUCAUUUGACCAGUUGACUUUACAGCCGUAGAUGCGUCUCCUUUGACAUAAUUGGAGGAAAACAAACAACAGACAUUUAGGACACCUUCUGCAAGAUGAAAUUUCCAGUUCCCAGCUUUCACCAGCUGAUUACAAAUAAGCCAGAAUUGAACAGCAACUCUGUCACCAGUGUCAAAAUUUCCCCAGCUAGAGAGGGUUUCCAUCAGGAGCCCUCUGGCAGGUGUUUCACAGAGACCAGAGGAUUAUCUCCUUUAGGUGACCCUUUAUAAAGCCAGCUUUACUCAUUGGAUGUAAAGUUCAGUAUUCUGCCAGCAACUUUCACAUUUGUGAGCUGAAUGUCCCAUCUUGUGGCAACUCCUGCAUUCUACAGUGUUCAGCUUGCCCACGUAUCCUUAAGGCAAUCCCAAAGAGCGAGGCAAGUGUGGAUCCCCCCUUUCUCUCACUGUUUAUCCUUGAUGUUUUUAAGGUACUGCACAUUUGCAAAUCUGAUGCGUUGUUUCGCAGUUUCUGUGAGCGUUGCCAAGUCCACAAGUCUUAGAUUAGACAGAACAAUCUCAGAUCAGGCUCACCCAGUCAAUUUUUGACUUCAGUCAUUGAUAAUGACGGAUGAACAUUCCUGAUAACCUGUCUUCCAAGAUGCUUCCAGGUGAGCAGCCCCUGGUCAGUGUUACGGCUCUGCCACGUAUACUUGUCAUUCUUUCCCCUUGCUGUCUGGUUAAACUAUGAAACUUGAACCCCAUCAGGCAAGCAUAGAAUUUGCCGGGGGACUUGAAACACCUCGUUAGCUAUACAAGGGCUUUCAAGGCUCUUAACAGAUUUCUCCAUUAAACCCAUAAAUUUCUCCAUAAAUUCCGUUUUAUACUUGAAUCCUAGUCGGUACCACCAACUGUGGCAUCAUCAAGGAAUAAAUUAUGACUGCUAGGAGGCUCUCCUUGCUGGUCCUUCCUCUUAAAUCUCUGGCUUGCAGUAGGAUAAGGUGCUCAUAUGCGCAUCUCCCUGCAGCAUGUCCAUUGCUCUCUCUCUUGCAUUCUGGCCAAAAGGAAAGAGGAAAGGUUGCAGGGGUGAAAACGCUGUCCGUGUGACACCAGAGGACCCUGGGCUACCUGCCUGCAUGAAGGCUGUGACCACAGAACCGUGCAGGGAUGAGGACACGUAAUCCUGCAUAAAGGAUGGACAAAACAGAAUUCUCCGGGUCUGAGGUCCAUUUACCUGGAUGGUGAACCCUUCUCUGCAUGAGCUGUGUGUUGCAUAGAAGGACAAACUCAACCUGCCUUUCACCUCUCAAUCGUUUAUACACUGCUCAGAAACAAAGUUUAGUAUGUUUAGCAAGAAGGAAACAGAAAUUUAAGGAUAAUGAGUGUGAUGUCCCCCUCACGGGUAUCAGCCCACAGAGCUUGUGGGCUGCC